rnacentral:lncRNA from 1 species
GGGAGAAGGCUACCAAAAACUGUCCGCAUAACAUCAAAGGCUUCUUGAAUCCAACUAAAUUGGGACUUUACAGCCAUUAGGCAUGCAAUAGCAUCCACUUGGGAAACCUUGAUAUACUCGUGAAGGGGUUGCUGUGCUGCAGACAACAUAUCGUAAUAUGCUUUUGUGGUUGGCUCUAUCUCUUCCUCCCUACAUCCUUCAUCAAAGUGUGCUUCAUGAAAGUCAUUUAACAUGUAUCCUUCCCUGGCAUCAUAAUCCUCGACGCAUUGUCUCACGACCU